GAGAUACGGAGGAAGGUGGGGAUGACGUCAAGUCAUCAUGGCCCUUACGGCCUGGGCUACACACGUGCUACAAUGGUCGGUACAAAGGGUUGCCAAGCCGCGAGGUGGAGCUAAUCCCAUAAAACCGAUCGUAGUCCGGAUCGCAGUCUGCAACUCGACUGCGUGAAGUCGGAAUCGCUAGUAAUCGUGAAUCAGAAUGUCACGGUGAAUACGUUCCCGGGCCUU
rnacentral:rRNA from 1 species